rnacentral:rRNA from 1 species
CCCCUCCUCCGGGGGGCAUCAGUGGGGAAUAUUGCACAAUGGGGGAAACCCUUCUUCCUCUCCUCCUCUUUCGUGAAGAAGUAUCUCGGUACGUAAAGCUCUAUCAGCAGGGAAGAAAAUGACGGUACCUGACUAAGAAGCCCCGGCUAACUACGUGCCAGCAGCCGCGGAAAUACGUAGGGGGCAAGCGUUAUCCGGAUUUACUGGGUGUAAAGGGAGCGUAGACGGCAGCGCAAGUCUGGAGUGAAAUGCCGGGGCCCAACCCCGGAACUGCUUUGGAAAAUGGGCAGCUCGAGUGCAGGAGG